GGAAGGAAAGAUUCUCCCCGCGAAGCAAACGAGUCCUUGAUCAAAUCCGCCUGGCCACCGAGCCCAAAUCUAUCUUUCCUGUCCCAAAGCUCCCAUGGACUUGGACGUAGCGAAGCGGUCGCUGGGGCAGCGCCGGGGGAGACCCUCCCCAGCUCGUCCUCGACGCUCUCCCCUCCAAAUACUACGACUCCUUCGUUCUCCAUGGCCUCCGAGUCGACCUCGCCGAGCCCGGCCGACUCCUCUGCUUCAUGACCGUCCCUCCAUCAACACAGGCAAGUUUCUACCCGGUGGCGCCACUGCUUCCCCGGUGGACUUGGUCGGCUCCGCCGCCUCGUAAACCACUUCCCUGGAGAUCUGCAUUGCCUGUUUGGAUGCUGCCUUUGUCUAUGUGCGUUCAUUUCUUUUAGACUUUAGUUAAAACUCAAUAUCUUGAGCUUCAGAAAACAUGUUAAUUUCCAUUAACCAUCUCCAACAAUAACAAUAGAAAACAAUAUGCAACAAAGAAUCUACUGUUAGACUUAGAUAUACUUGAAAUUAGAUACAAAGGCAUGCUUAAUUAUCGAAUCGUCUCGUCUUCCAUGGUACCUUCGUUGCCAAACAUUUAAUGACAAAAUUUUUUUCAUCA